GUGUCAGCCGCCGCGGUAAUACAGAGGGUGCGAGCGUUAAUCGGAAUUACUGGGCGUAAAGCGUGCGUAGACGGUUUGGUAAGUCGGAUGUGAAAUCCCCGGGCUCAACCUGGGAAUUGCAUUCGAGACUGCCUGGCUAGGGUGCGGAAGAGGGAAGCGGAAUUUCCGGUGUAGCGGUGAAAUGCGUAGAUAUCGGAAGGAACAUCAGUGGCGAAAGCGGCUUCCUGGUCCAGCACCGACGUUCAGGCACGAAAGCGUGGGGAGCAAACAGGAUUAGAUACCCGGGUAGUCC
rnacentral:rRNA from 1 species